GCUGACACACACUACACUGUCUCUGUGACC
rnacentral:piRNA from 1 species